UCUGCUGCCAUUGUGCUGUCACUGGGUGU
rnacentral:piRNA from 1 species